GAUGAACGCUGGCGGCGUGCCUAACACAUGCAAGUCGAGCGAUUCUCUUCGGAGAAGAGCGGCGGACGGGUGAGUAACGCGUGGGUAACCUGCCCUGUACACACGGAUAACAUACCGAAAGGUAUGCUAAUACGAGAUAAUAUACUUUUAUCGCACGGUAGAAGUAUCAAAGUUUUUGCGGUACAGGAUGGACCCGCGUCUGAUUAGCUAGUUGGUAAGGUAACGGCUUACCAAGGCGACGAUCAGUAGCCGACCUGAGAGGGUGAUCGGCCACAUUGGAACUGAGACACGGUCCAAACUCCUACGGGAGGCAGCAGUGGGGAAUAUUGCACAAUGGGCGAAAGCCUGAUGCAGCAACGCCGCGUGAGCGAUGAAGGCCUUCGGGUCGUAAAGCUCUGUCCUCAAGGAAGAUAAUGACGGUACUUGAGGAGGAAGCCCCGGCUAACUACGUG
rnacentral:rRNA from 1 species